rnacentral:rRNA from 2 species
UGCAAGUCGAACGAGCUUCCGUUGAAUGACGUGCUUGCACUGAUUUCAACAAUGAAGCGAGUGGCGAACUGGUGAGUAACACGUGGGUAACUUGCCCAGAAGCAGGGGAUAACACUUGGAAACAGGUGCUAAUACCGUAUAACAACAGAAACCGCAUGGUUUCUGUUUGAAAGGUGGUUUCGGCUAUCACUUCUGGAUGGACCCGCGGCGUAUUAGUUAGUUGGUGAGGUAAAGGCCCACCAAGACAAUGAUACGUAGCCGACCUGAGAGGGUAAUCGGCCACAUUGGGACUGAGACACGGCCCAAACUCCUACGGGAGGCAGCAGUAGGGAAUCUUCCACAAUGGACGAAAGUCUGAUGGAGCAAUGCCGCGUGAGUGAAGAAGGGUUUCGGCUCGUAAAACUCUGUUGUUAAAGAAGAACACUCUUGAGAGUAACUGUUCAGGAGUUGACGGUAUUUAACCAGAAAGCCACGGCUAACUACGUGCCAGCAGCCGCGGUAAUACGUAGGUGGCAAGCGUUGUCCGGAUUUAUUGGGCGUAAAGCGAGCGCAGGCGGUUUCUUAAGUCUGAUGUGAAAGCCUUCGGCUUAACCGGAGAAGUGCAUCGGAAACUGGGAGACUUGAGUGCAGAAGAGGACAGUGGAACUCCAUGUGUAGCGGUGGAAUGCGUAGAUAUAUGGAAGAACACCAGUGGCGAAGGCGGCUGUCUAGUCUGUAACUGACGCUGAGGCUCGAAAGCAUGGGUAGCAAACAGGAUUAGAUACCCUGGUAGUCCAUGCCGUAAACGAUGAGUGCUAGGUGUUGGAGGGUUUCCGCCCUUCAGUGCCGCAGCUAACGCAUUAAGCACUCCGCCUGGGGAGUACGACCGCAAGGUUGAAACUCAAAGGAAUUGACGGGGGCCCGCACAAGCGGUGGAGCAUGUGGUUUAAUUCGAAGCUACGCGAAGAACCUUACCAGGUCUUGACAUACUAUGCAAAUCCUAGAGAUAGGACGUUCCCUUCGGGGACAUGGAUACAGGUGGUGCAUGGUUGUCGUCAGCUCGUGUCGUGAGAUGUUGGGUUAAGUCCCGCAACGAGCGCAACCCUUAUUAUCAGUUGCCAGCAUUAAGUUGGGCACUCUGGUGAAACUGCCGGUGACAAACCGGAGGAAGGUGGGGAUGACGUCAAAUCAUCAUGCCCCUUAUGACCUGGGCUACCCACGUGCUACAAUGGACCGAACAAC